rnacentral:rRNA from 1 species
UACAGAGGGUGCGAGCGUUAAUCGGAAUUACUGGGCGUAAAGCGCACGUAGGCGGCUUGGUAUGUCGGGUGUGAAAUCCCCGGGCUCAACCUGGGAACUGCAUCCGAAACUGCCUUGCUAGAGUAUGGGAGAGGGAAGUGGAAUUUCUGGUGUAGCGGUGAAAUGCGUAGAUAUCAGAAGGAACAUCAGUGGCGAAAGCGGCUUCCUGGUCCAGUACCGACGUUCAGGCACGAAAGCGUGGGGAGCAAACAGG